ACGAACGCUGGCGGCGUGCCUAACACAUGCAAGUCGAACGAAGCUCUGCGAUACAAGACUUCGGUCAAGUUGAACGGAUGACUUAGUGGCGGACGGGUGAGUAACGCGUGAGGAACCUGCCUUUCAGUGGGGGACAACAGUUGGAAACGACUGCUAAUACCGCAUAAUGUAUUCUGACCGCAUGAUCGGAAUACCAAAGAUUUAUUGCUGAAAGAUGGCCUCGCGUCUGAUUAGAUAGUUGGUGAGGUAACGGCCCACCAAGUCGACGAUCAGUAGCCGGACUGAGAGGUUGAACGGCCACAUUGGGACUGAGAUACGGCCCAGACUCCUACGGGAGGCAGCAGUGGGGAAUAUUGGGCAAUGGGGGAAACCCUGACCCAGCAACGCCGCGUGAAGGAAGAAGGCUUUCGGGUUGUAAACUUCUUUUACCAGGGACGAAGGACGUGACGGUACCUGGAGAAAAAGCCACGGCUAACUACGUGCCAGCAGCCGCGGUAAUACGUAGGUGGCAAGCGUUGUCCGGAUUUACUGGGUGUAAAGGGCGUGUAGGCGGAGAAGCAAGUCAGAAGUGAAAUCCAUGGGCUUAACCCAUGAACUGCUUUUGAAACUGUUUCCCUUGAGUAUCGGAGAGGCAGGCGGAAUUCCUAGUGUAGCGGUGAAAUGCGUAGAUAUUAGGAGGAACACCAGUGGCGAAGGCGGCCUGCUGGACGACAACUGACGCUGAGGCGCGAAAGCGUGGGGAGCAAACAGGAUUAGAUACCCUGGUAGUCCACGCUGUAAACGAUGAAUACUAGGUGUGGGAGGACUGACCCCUUCCGUGCCGCAGUUAACACAAUAAGUAUUCCACCUGGGGAGUACGAUCGCAAGAUUGAAACUCAAAGGAAUUGACGGGGGCCCGCACAAGCGGAGGAACAUGUGGUUUAAUUCGAUGAUACGCGAGGAACCUUACCCGGGCUUAAAUUGCACUCGAAUGAUCCGGAAACGGUUCAGCUAGCAAUAGCGAGUGUGAAGGUGCUGCAUGGUUGUCGUCAGCUCGUGUCGUGAGAUGUUGGGUUAAGUCCCGCAACGAGCGCAACCCCUAUUGUUAGUUGCUACGCAAGAGCACUCUAGCGAGACUGCCGUUGACAAAACGGAGGAAGGCGGGGACGACGUCAAAUCAUCAUGCCCCUUAUGUCCCGGGCUACACACGUAAUACAAUGGCGGUCAACAGAGGGAAGCAAAGCCGCGAGGCAGAGCAAACCCCUAAAAGCCGUCUCAGUUCGGAUUGCAGGCUGCAACUCGCCUGCAUGAAGUUGGAAUUGCUAGUAAUCGUGGAUCAGCAUGCCACGGUGAAUACGUUCCCGGGCCUUGUACACACCGCCCGUCACACCAUGAGAGUUGGGAACACCCGAAGUCCGUAGUCUAACCGUAAGGAGGGCGCGGCCGAAGGUGGGCCUGAUAAUUGGGGUG
rnacentral:rRNA from 1 species